GAUGAACGCUGGCGGCGUGCCUAAUACAUGCAAGUCGAGCGAACAGACGAGGAGCUUGCUCCUCUGACGUUAGCGGCGGACGGGUGAGUAACACGUGGAUAACCUACCUAUAAGACUGGGAUAACUUCGGGAAACCGGAGCUAAUACCGGAUAACAUUUUGAACCGCAUGGUUCAACAGUGAAAGACGGUCUUGCUGUCACUUAUAGAUGGAUCCGCGCUGCAUUAGCUAGUUGGUAAGGUAACGGCUUACCAAGGCAACGAUGCGUAGCCGACCUGAGAGGGUGAUCGGCCACACUGGAACGGAGACACGGUCCAGACUCCUACGGGAGGCAGCAGUAGGGAAUCUUCCGCAAUGGGCGAAAGCCUGACGGAGCAACGCCGCGUGAGUGAAGAAGGUCUUCGGAUCGUAAAACUCUGUUAUUAGGGAAGAACAAAUGUGUAAGUAACUAUGCACGUCCUGACGGUACCUAAUCAGAAAGCCACGGCUAACUACGUG
rnacentral:rRNA from 1 species